GCAACGCUGUGGGUUGGAACCGCCUGCGUUUUCAAUAGUUUUAGCGCUCGUUCAUUAGUUUUUAUUAAUUAAAAUGCCUCCAGAAUUUGCCUACUAGUGCGAAAUGAAACCUACAGUAUAAAAUGCUAGCUUGAAAUAGAAAAAACCCUACAAUAUUCUAUAACUUCACUUUUAAACAAAAUCAUGUGUCGUUUGUCCAAAAACAUACAAAUCAUGUGUCAACUAUAUAUUAAAACAUGGAGAAUAUUAUUGGUUGUUGGACUUUGUAAACUAUGUUAUAAAUUUGUAACCUAGUUUUCAAUCAAGUUAAGAUUGUCCUUAAAUACCUUUAUUCUGUAUUAUUUUAUUUUUGUUGUUUUGUAGACCUAUACUAUGAUUCUCUUUAUUUUACGAGAAAGUAAGUAAAGGUGAUGAGAACAUACCAAUCCACCGGUGACGUAUUUAA